rnacentral:lncRNA from 10 species
AUAGCCGGGUAUUGAGCGGUCCGGGUCUCUGCUGCUCAAAGUAAAGACCGUUUGAGAAGGCGGGGAGAGAUCGAAGAAGCUGCUUUAUCUUACAGUCACCCAAGGGGGAGCGCCUUCUUCCUUCCCAGAGUGGAGUGGCAGUGGGUCCGGGAUUCUGGGAUAUGCACAGGGUCUGCGCCCUGCGCCCUGUCCGCGCUGAAGCUGAACUUGUCAUUGGUUUGCAACAGCAUGGUGAAGAAGUGUGGUGUGGAUGGACGGACGGGCCUCUCAGGCACAUGAAAUACUCAAAGCCCAGUAUUAACCAAACAUGUUUCUCUGUUUUGUCUUUGAUCUUUGUGCAGUGUGUUGGCUUUUUUCCUUUAAUGAUGUCACUUGUAUUUUAUUUUUGGUUUAUUUGUAGACUGUCUCCCUCCUUGGCCAUGGCUUUACUUUUAUGUCCACCCAAGGAGAGUUUCACCAGUUUAGGUUUAAGAAAUUACUGACAAGUUAACAAUAAUAAUUUCAAAAUUGAACAGUAAUAACUUAAACCGUGCCUUGGACAUAGUAGAUCUCCAACAGUUUUUCUUGAAUGUGGCUACCUAAUGUGGAACAAGAUUUUUCAUAAUUACAUGUUGCUAUUUUUAAUACCUUUUGGGAGGUUCUUUAGUCCCCCCCGCCCUUUCUCCCUACGUUGCACAAAGAGACUGGUCUACAAGGGGUCCUGUUAGUUUUCUGGUUUUGUGGGGUCCUGGAAUAUUGUUUGGGCUUAUUGAGAGUUAACAAGGAUGUAUUUUGUGAGUUUCUCCAAAGUCUUAUUUAGAGUAAUAGUAUUUCAAAGCAAGAAGUGUUUUAGAGAGAACAUCAUUCUGCCUCUUGUUUAACAGGUGAGGAAACUGAGGAAAAACCAGCUUACCUGGCUAAUCAACCACAAGUACAGAUAGUUCCACAAUGACUCAAUGGAUAUUACUUCAACUUUGUUCCCUCAAGAAACUUUUGUGAUUAAGCUUGUUGAUUUGUGGCUUGAUGGUUUACAGGAAUGGUCAUUUUUAAUAUCUAGGACCCUGCUUGCUUGCUUGCUUGCUUGCUUACUAGACUGGCUGCAUAGUCAGUCUUCCACGUGUAAACAACAGUGUGUGCUUUAGUGGAUAAGAGAUGUUGAGUGCUGAGAUUUCAAGGCUCAGCACUGAGUAGACCUAGAGCAUUUUUAUUUAUACUAAAUUAAUGCCAUGGUAACAUAAGUUAGACAGCAAGUGAAUAUGGCAUCAAAUGUACAAAGUUGAGUAUCUCUUUACUAGUCAAUGUAUAAGGAAUUUAUUUACCCAAGCAAUUAUCUUAAAAACAGCAUUACAAGUGGUAUGCGAAACAUUUCCAGAAUUUAUUUCCACAUCUGCUCUUUCAGUGGCAUCAUCCAUUCCUGAGCUCAAGAAAAGGCCUCUGCCAACCGCCAGUAAUCCUGCUUUUUUAGUAAUCCUACUAUUUUUUUUUUAACUUUAAGUUCUGGGAUACAUGUGCAGAACAUGCAGGUUUGUUACAUAGGUAUACAUGUGCCUAUGUAUACCUAUGUAACAUGGUGGUUACAGUAAACAUGGUGGUUUACUGCAUCUAUCAACCCGUCAUCUAGGUUUUAAGCCCUGCAUUCAUUAGAUAUUUGUCCUAAUGCUCUCCCUCCCCUUUCCCCCACGCCCCGACAGGCCCCAGUAUGUGAUAUUACCCUCCCUGUGUCCAUGUGUUCUCAUCGUUCAACUCCCACUUAUAAGUGAGAAUAUGCAGAGUUUGGUUUUCUGUUGUGUUACUUUGCUUAGAAUGAUGGCUCCCAGCUUCAUCCAUGUCCCUGCAAAUGACAUGAACUCAUUCUUUUUUAUGGCUGCAUAGUAUUCCAUGGUGUAUAUGUGCCACAUUGUCUUUAUCCAGUCUAUCAUCGAUGGCAUUUGGGUUGGUUCCAAGUCUUUGCUAUUGUAAAUAGCACUGCAAUAAACAUACAUGUGCAUGUGU